GGAGCUUGCUCCCCAUGAAAGUGGCGCACGGGUGCGUAACGCGUAUGCAACCUACCUUAAUCUGGGGGAUAGCCCGAAGAAAUUCGGAUUAACACCGCAUAACAUUAUUUUAUGGCAUCAUAGAAUAAUCAAAUAUUUAUAGGAUUAAGAUGGGCAUGCGUGACAUUAGUUAGUUGGUGAGGUAACGGCUCACCAAGACUACGAUGUCUAGGGGAUCUGAGAGGAUGACCCCCCACACUGGUACUGAGACACGGACCAGACUCCUACGGGAGGCAGCAGUAAGGAAUAUUGGUCAAUGGGCGCAAGCCUGAACCAGCCAUGCCGCGUGCAGGAAGACGGCCCUACGGGUUGUAAACUGCUUUUAUUCGGGAAUAAACCCUAUUACGUGUAAUAGGCUGAAUGUACCGAAGGAAUAAGGAUCGGCUAACUCCGUGCCAGCAGCCGCGGUAAUACGGAGGAUCCAAGCGUUAUCCGGAUUUAUUGGGUUUAAAGGGUGCGUAGGCGGCUUAUUAAGUCAGGGGUGAAAGACGGUGGCUCAACCAUCGCAGUGCCUUUGAUACUGAUGAGCUUGAAUACACUAGAGGUAGGCGGAAUGUGACAAGUAGCGGUGAAAUGCAUAGAUAUGUCACAGAACACCAAUUGCGAAGGCAGCUUACUAUGGUUGUAUUGACGCUGAGGCACGAAAGCGUGGGGAUCAAACAGGAUUAGAUACCCUGGUAGUCCACGCCCUAAACGAUGAAUACUCGAUGUUAGCGAUAUACAGUUAGCGUCUAAGCGAAAGCGUUAAGUAUUCCACCUGGGGAGUACGCCCGCAAGGGUGAAACUCAAAGGAAUUGACGGGGGCCCGCACAAGCGGAGGAGCAUGUGGUUUAAUUCGAUGAUACGCGAGGAACCUUACCCGGGCUUGAAAGUUACUGAAUGAUCUAGAGAUAGAUCAGUCCGCAAGGACACGAAACUAGGUGCUGCAUGGCUGUCGUCAGCUCGUGGGGGGAGGUGUAAGGUUAAGUCCCGCAACGAGCGCAACCC
rnacentral:rRNA from 1 species